UAUUUGCUCCUUCUCUCUAAUCCUUUGUACUUGGCUGGUAGUGUUUUUGACAUGCAGUGCACCUGGGCAAGGAUUCAGAGUGAGAUGAGCC
rnacentral:pre_miRNA from 1 species